rnacentral:rRNA from 1 species
UUCGCAAUGCCCGAAAGGGUGACGAUGCGACGCCGCGUGGGUGAGGAAGGCCCUCGGGUUGUAAAGCCCUGUCAGGAGUUAAGAAAUGUAAGUGCGCUAAUAUCGCAUUUAUUUGACGAAGGCUCCAAAGGAAGUCACGGCUAACUCUGUGCCAGCAGCCGCGGUAAUACAGAGGUGGCAAGCGUUGUUCGGAAUUAUUGGGCGUAAAGAGCACGUAGGUGGGUUUGCAAGUCAGAUGUGAAAGCCUCCUGUUCAACGGGAGAAUUGCAUCUGAAACUGCAGAUCUUGAGUGUAGGAGGGGAGAAUGGAACUUCUGGUGGAGCGGUGAAAUGCGUAGAUAUCAGAAGGAACGCCGGCGGCGAAAGCGAUUCUCUGGCCUAUUACUGACACUCAGUGUGCGAAAGCUAGGGGAGCAAACGGGAUUAGAUACCCCGGUAGUCCUAGCCGUAAACGAUGGGCACUAAGUAGAGGGGUUUU